rnacentral:rRNA from 1 species
UACGGAGGGUGCAAGCGUUAUCCGGAUUCACUGGGCUUAAAGGGUGCGUAGGCGGGUCUGUAAGUCCGUGGUGAAAUCUCUAGGCUUAACCUGGAAACUGCCAUGGAUACUAUAGAUCUUGAAUACUGUGGAGGUCAGCGGAAUAUGUCAUGUAGCGGUGAAAUGCUUAGAUAUGACAUAGAACACCAGUUGCGAAGGCAGCUGGCUACACAAAUAUUGACACUGAGGCACGAAAGCGUGGGGAUCAAACAGG